AAUGAACGCUGGCGGCGCGCCUAAUACAUGCAAGUCGAGCGAGAAGACGUAGCAAUACGUUUGUAAAGCGGCGAACGGGUGAGGAAUACAUGGGUAACCUACCCUCGAGUGGGGAAUAACUAGCCGAAAGGUUAGCUAAUACCGCGUACGCUUCUUGGACCUCGGUUCAGGGAGGAAAGCGAUGCCGAGGGUAUCGCGCUCUUGGAUGGGCUCAUGUCCUAUCAGCUUGUUGGNGAGGUAACGGCUCACCAAGGCUUCGACGGGUAGCUGGUCUGAGAGGACGAUCAGCCACACUGGCACUGCGACACGGGCCAGACUCCUACGGGAGGCAGCAGUAAGGAAUAUUGCGCAAUGGGCGAAAGCCUGACGCAGCGACGCCGCGUGGGGGA
rnacentral:rRNA from 1 species